rnacentral:rRNA from 1 species
AUUGAACGCUGGCGGCAGGCCUAACACAUGCAAGUCGAGCGGAUGAAGGGAGCUUGCUCCUGGAUUCAGCGGCGGACGGGUGAGUAAUGCCUAGGAAUCUGCCUGGUAGUGGGGGAUAACGUCCGGAAACGGGCGCUAAUACCGCAUACGUCCUGAGGGAGAAAGUGGGGGAUCUUCGGACCUCACGCUAUCAGAUGAGCCUAGGUCGGAUUAGCUAGUUGGUGGGGUAAAGGCCUACCAAGGCGACGAUCCGUAGCUGGUCUGAGAGGAUGAUCAGUCACACUGGAACUGAGACACGGUCCAGACUCCUAAGGGAGGCAGCAGUGGGGAAUAGUGGACAAUGGGCGAAAGCCUGAUCCAGCCAGGCCGCGUGGGUGAAGAAGGUCUUCGGGUUGUAAAGCACUUUAGGUGGGGAAGAAGAGAAGUAGGUUAAUACCUGGCUGUUUUGACGUUACCCAAAGAAUAAGCACGGGCUAACUUCGUG